CCCAUUUCAAAUUAAGGAUUGGACUAGGAUUGGAUAUUUGGGCUAUUGAUCAGGCUUGAAUUCAGACUCGAGCUUGGGCUUGGGUCAGGCCAUCGAUCUACUCGAGCUCGAUCCAAAAUUAUAAUGAGCUCUAUAAUCAGGCCCAAGCUCAAUUUGAUAUUAUUCGAGUCUAGCUCAAAGCCCAAUCCGAAGUCGGGCUAGCCCAAUGGGCUUCGGGCUAGUCGAAACCCAUUUAUAACCCUAAAAGAAGAUGAGAUUAGAGCCAUA
rnacentral:lncRNA from 1 species